rnacentral:rRNA from 1 species
AGAACGAACGCUGGCGGCAUGCCUAACACAUGCAAGUCGAACGAGACCUUCGGGUCUAGUGGCGCACGGGUGCGUAACGCGUGGGAGUCUGCCCUUGGGUUCGGGAUAACAGUUGGAAACGACUGCUAAUACCGGAUGAUGACUUCGGUCCAAAGAUUUAUUGCCCAGGGAUGAGCCCGCGUAGGAUUAGCUAGUUGGUGAGGUAAAGGCUCACCAAGGCGACGAUCCUUAGCUGGUCUGAGAGGAUGAUCAGCCACACUGGGACUAGAGACCACGGCCCAAGACU